rnacentral:rRNA from 1 species
GACGAACGCUGGCGGCGUGCUUAACACAUGCAAGUCGAACGGUAAGGCUCCAGCUUGCUGGGGUACACGAGUGGCGAACGGGUGGGUAACACGUGGGUGACCUGCCCUGCACUUCGGGAUAAGCCAGGGAAACUGGGUCUAAUACCGGAUAGGACCAUGGUGUGGAUACUGUGGUGGAAAGUUUUUUCGGUGUGGGAUGGGCCCGCGGCCUAUCAGCUUGUUGGUGGGGUAAUGGCCUACCAAGGCGGCGACGGGUAGCCGGCCUGAGAGGGUGGACGGCCACAUUGGGACUGAGACACGGCCCAGACUCCUACGGGAGGCAGCAGUGGGGAAUAUUGCACAAUGGGCGGAAGCCUGAUGCAGCGACGCCGCGUGGGGGAUGACGGCCUUCGGGUUGUAAACUCCUUUCACCAUCGACGAAGGGUUUCUGACGGUAGAUGGAGAAGAAGCACCGGCUAACUACGUG